rnacentral:rRNA from 1 species
UUUUUUUURRAUAAAAAACCAACGCCCUUUSUGGCUCCUUGGKGAAUCAUAAUAACUUAACGAAUCGCAUGGCCUUGCGCCGGCUAUGGUUCAUUCAAAUUUCUGCCCUAUCAACUUUCGAUAACUGGAUAGUGGCCUACCAUGGUGGCAACGGGUAACGGGGAAUUAGGGUUCGAUUCCGGAGAGGGAGCCUGAGAAACGGCUACCACAUCCAAGGAAGGCAGCAGGCGCGCAAAUUACCCAAUCCCGAUACGGGGAGGUAGUGACAAUGAAUACUGAUACGGGGCUCUUUUGGGUCUUCAAUUGGAAUGAGAACAAUUUAAAUCCCUUAACGAGGAACAAUUGGAGGGCAAGUCUGGUGCCAGCAGCCGCCRKAAUUCCAGCUCCUUUAGCGUAUAUUAAAGUUGUUGCAAUUAAAAAGCUCGWARAUGAACCUUGGGUCUGGUUGGSCKGKCCSCCUCACCSCGAGKACUGGUCCGGCUGGACCUUUCCUGCUGGGGAACCUCAUGGCCUUCACUGGCUGUCRSUGGGAACCAGGACUUUUACUGUGAAAAACUAKAGUGWUCAWAGCRUGCC